rnacentral:siRNA from 1 species
UAUGAUUUUGUUUGUGCGCUCAGG